rnacentral:rRNA from 1 species
UACGUAGGGGCUAGCGUUAUCCGGAAUUACUGGGCGUAAAGGGUGCGUAGGUGGUUUCUUAAGUCAGAGGUGAAAGGCUACGGCUCAACCGUAGUAAGCCUUUGAAACUGAGAAACUUGAGUGCAGGAGAGGAGAGUAGAAUUCCUAGUGUAGCGGUGAAAUGCGUAGAUAUUAGGAGGAAUACCAGUUGCGAAGGCGGCUCUCUGGACUGUAACUGACACUGAGGCACGAAAGCGUGGGGAGCAAACAGGAUUAGAUACCCGCGUAGUCCCUGA